UACAGAGGCCCCAAGCGUUGUUCGGAUUUACUGGGCGUAAAGGGAGCGUAGGUGGCAUUCUAAGUCUGAUGUGAAAGCUCUGAGCUUAACUCAGAAAUGGCAUUAGAUACUAGUUUGCUUGAGGAUUGGAGGGGAGAUUGGAAUUCUUGGUGUAGCAGUGAAAUGCGUAGAUAUCAAGAGGAACACCAGUGGCGAAGGCGAAUCUCUGGACAAUUCCUGACACUGAUGCUCGAAAGCUAGGGGAGCAAACGGG
rnacentral:rRNA from 1 species